rnacentral:rRNA from 1 species
GGCUUCAGAGAAUCAAGAAGUAUUUCUUCAACAGGGCCUUACGGAAGACUUGGAAGUUGUACUCGGAUGGGAGACUGCCUGGGAAUACUGAGUGCUGGAGGCU